GGUUGUACCUCAGUGAUAUAGCGCUUGCCUCACAUGCAUGAGGCCCUGAGUUCUAUCCUCAGCACCA
rnacentral:tRNA from 1 species